UGGCCUUUUUCACAAAGUAUAAUCAGCGUAACCUUCCUAUCGAAAUAUCUUGAAAUUGUCAACAAUGUGUGGCAACGUAUAAAAAACAAAAUUCAAAACCCACCAGAAACCGGUGGCGAUCCACUUGUCAACGGAAAAUACAUAAACAAAUUCCUUAAUC